rnacentral:misc_RNA from 1 species
GUGAAUCAUCGAAUUUUUGAACGCAAAUUGCACUCUCUUCGGAGAGUAUGCCUGUUUGAGGGUCAGCCUAAAAAAAAUUGACAUAGUCGCUUUUUCGCGGUGGCAUUCGUCGGAAAUUGGGACAUCUUUAACCUUUGGGUUUUUAGCGUCUUAAUAUUUUAUUUAGGAUUACAGGAUCGUUUUUAAGAUUUA